UAAUACUAGGGGGGCAAGCGUUGUCCGGAUUCAUUGGGCGUAAAGAGUUCGUAGGCGGUCUAAACAGUCAAAAUUGAAAUACCACGGCUUAACCGUGGGCCCGGUUUUGAUACUUUUAGACUUGAGUUAGGUAGGGGUAAGCGGAAUUCCUGGUGUAGCGGUGAAAUGCGUAGAUAUCAGGAGGAACACCAAAGGCGAAGGCAGCUUACUGGACCUCGACUGACGCUGAGGAACGAAAGCGUGGGUAGCAAACAGGAUUAGAGACCCUGGUAGUCCACGCCGUAAACGAUGAGCACUUGAUGGUGGGGGAUUUAAGCCCUUCACUGUCGGAGUUAACGCGUUAAGUGCUCCGCCUGGGGACUACGACCGCAAGGUUG
rnacentral:rRNA from 1 species